CUCGCAGUCUGAAGCCCCGACGACAGGAGACAACACAGCAGUGAAUGGGUUAACGAUGGCGUGUAGACAGCAGGGAGGUGGUCUGCCUGCUCGCGUUACUCUGACGGCGGAGACUUCGGCACAUGGCGAGGAGAAAAAACAUGCCCUGUGCCCGAAUACAUAAGGAAGUUUUCCCUCCGGGUUGAGCCAGACCAGGGCGACCUCGGGAUGACACUGCCGUUGGUGAUAUGAAGGUCAUCUGUACGAACUACCCGGAGAACGAGAUCGAGGGCGAGGGCGAGGAAUGGGGAUUCUGGGGGCCAUGGGCGGAAUGUCCCCCCGAUACGGCGGUGUGUGCUGCAGACACGCCUUGAACCCUACAAGGGCGUGAUGGACGACGAUACCGCCCUCAAUGACAUCCGGGUCUUCUGUUGCCCUUUGGUUUGGUGAUGACCUAGUACGACCUUCUUGGGUGACCUAACCCCUCCCCUGAUGAGCUA